ensembl:lncRNA
GAGUGAAUUUACCUGUGACAGGGGUCAUAUUGGCAUCGUCAGCAAUUCAGAUUUCUUCAUCAUUACAGAGUGGCUUAGUAACCGCCAAUGCUGCUUAAGGAAGAUUCUGAGUUUUUCCAGGACGUGCUGAAAGGUCAGAUCUUACUUAGCUGGGCGCCGCGAGAAGCCAUAAGCAGCAAAGUCUCUCGCCACACCCUGUACGAGGCAGCGCAGGAAGUCCUGCAAGGGAGCCAGGGCAAGCGCCGGGAGUUCCUGGAGACGGCGGAGUUGCAGAUCAGCUUGAAGAACUCUGAGCCCCAGAGGACAAACGCGUCUCAAACACCGUCAGGCUGAAGUCCACUCCCCGCUCCACGUUCUCCAUGUGUGUCCUGGGGGACCAGCAACACUGUGACGAGUGCAAGGCCGUGGAGAGCCCUCACAUGGGCAUCGAGGUGCUGAAAAAAUAUCAACAAAAAUCAGAAACUAGUCAAGAAGCUAGCCAAGAAUUAUGAUGCAUUUUUGGCCUCAGAGUCUCUGAUCAAGCGGAUCCCAGGAAUCCUCUGCCCAGGCCUAAAUAAGGCAAGAAAGCUAUUUUCCCUGUUCACACAGAACGAAAACCUGGCGGCCAAAGUGGACGAGGUGAACUCCACAAUCAAGUUUCAAAUGAAGAAGGUGUUAUGUUUGGCUGUGGCUGUUGGCCACGUGAAGAUGACAGAUGAGGAACUUGUAUAGAACAUUCUAUACCUGGCUGUCAACUUCUUGGUGUCAUUGCUCAAGAAAAACUGGCAGAAUAUCCGGGUCUUAUAUAUCAAGAGCACCAUGGGCAAGCCCCAGCAUCUAUAUUAAGGCACCUUUGAAUAAAUUCUACUGCUACUAAAAAAAAAAAUUUCUUUUAGAUGUUUUUCAGCAAAAAUAAAUUUAGCACCUGUGUCAUCUCUGGGAUUUGUCUACAUACUAACCACUGAGAUAACCUGGAGAGUAAGGUGUGGUAGAAGGAAGAACAACUUAAAUAUUUCUAAAUUUUAAUUAUUCUGAUUUAAAAGACUACAAAGUUGAAAUAGGUCAAAAUUAAAACUCUGGCGGGAAAUUGCCUUUUUUUUUUAAUAUAUGGGAAAUAAAACAGCAUCAGGUAAAAUGGAGUUUACUAUGUUUCCAAACUUUAUUAGAAAUUAGCUGUUUCUAGGGAGCUAAAACAUUUCAACUGGUGCCAAGAGAGAAGAAGGGAGGAGCCCUUUUAUUUGGAAAGAAUAAUGAAACUAAAGAGUUGCAGCCAAAUUUUGAAGGGGAAUCCAAAUACUGUUUGGGGAAAAAUGACUAAAUGAAUUACCAGCAGCUGUUUGUCACCUCCCAAAGCUCUGUUGCAGAAAGACAUUACUGAAUAGCUUUUAUAAUCUUUUUUUCUUAUCCUUUUCUUUCACAUCAAGUUGGGCAGAAUAUAGUUAAAGGCUUAAUUUUCACUGAAAUGUUCUGUGUGAAAUUAGACCUUCGGAAUCCAACUUUUCCCAGCGCCUUUUUUUUUAAAGCAGUAAGUAAUCAGUGUUUAAUUACUUGACUUUUACAUGGUACAACCUUUGAGACCUUGCUGACUUACCGAGGCUUCAAGGUGUAUUGUUCAGAAUGUUCAAAAUCCUGUAUGUCUUGUUAGCAUUAACACUAGUAAGAUUAGAAAUGGAGAAAGUGGACUGUGACAUGCUCUUUGGGUACACCAUUGCACACAUGAUAAAAGCCUCAGAUUA